UCCCCAGUGGCACAAUAGGUUAGCGCGUUGUACUUAUAAUGCAAAGGUUGUGAGUUCGAACCUCACCUGGGGAA
rnacentral:tRNA from 1 species